AAGGAGGACUCAGUUGCUCGCCGCGAAAAUGGGAUCAACAAGAAGACAGGGCAGAGGUUCCGCAGUGCCCUGCCCCGCUGCCGAGGGGCAGUCGGAAGCAGCUGGUGGAAGGGGGCAGCAAGCCGUGGAGCUGUCUGUGUCCCCAUGAGUCCGGGGAGGAGCUGGUGCAGUUGGAAAUAACAGGUGGUCUGGGAGGGCAGGAGACCGCCUUCCAAUCCCUCUGGCUGGGAGAAGAAAGGCAAGAGGGCUUUGGAGCUGGCCGGGUCCCCGGAAUGCGCUGGGGUUUGCUCUGGCAGGAGGCCCGGCCUCCCACAGCUGCUCACCUAGCAGAUCCCUGGAGGUUUAGCGUUCAGGCUGGGGAUGAUUGAUAGGGCUGCUGGAGAGAGGUGAUAAUGAAGGGGGAAGUGCCCAUAAAAGGACCAAUUUAAUGCAACUUCUGUUUUUUCUUUCUUGGCUGGUGGUGCCCUGUCAAGGCCUCCAUCCACACUUGGCUUGCGGUGCCUCUGCUCUGUGAACCAGAGCUCCGCAGCGGGUCGCAGGCCAGGCCACUGCUGACCGAUGACCGCAGGCCGCAUUGCUCAAGCAUCUGGCCCCUCUUGGCUUUGUGCGCAUGCUCAGAGCUGCUCGCUGGGCAGGGCAGAUUUACAGCAGGGCGAUGGGCUCCUGGCUACUGAUCCACACCAGCGAGGAAAACCUGCCGUGGGCGCCUCCACAGCACUUCCAGGAGGAGCCAGAGUUGAAGUAUUGUGCAGAUGAGAAACAUCUCUUCAUGGGAAAUGACUCCCUUCUGGUUUGUGGGUGAAGAGGGUGAGCAUACUCUCCAUUUUCACAAGUAUGUGGAAAUCACCUGUGUGUAUUCUCAAUCUCAAGUGGAAUCGUAUUUGCUGUGUCAGUCCAGCCAUGAUGAGCAUAGGACAAGACUGUCCCUGAGAAGACAGCCUGGUUUGCCGCAGUCUUGCUUACCGAUAAAACUCAGUUCAGCUGGACACAGUGACACACAUCUGUAAUCCCAGCCCUCAGGAGGAUGAGGCUGAACUCCAGGCCAACCUGGGCUGCACACUGACUUCAAGUUCAGCAUGAAGUAGAUAUCGAGACCUGCCUCCAAGAACAACAAACACAACGCAAAACAAAACCUUUCAGUUCCACUUGGGCAAUAAAAAAACACCCUAACCCAACCUGAUAAAUAAUUCUUGCUGGUCACAUUGGGCCAUACACAGAAUGGACAUUGGACCUGAAAAGCCUUCUGUUCAGAUCUUACUUAAAAAUAAUGCUCUCCUCUGGCUUCAGAAGAUGUCCAGGUCCCUAGGGUGACAGCUCUGGCGAUGUACAGAGGUUUUCACAGUUAACUCUGCCUUCUCACCAGAGGGGAGCCAGCAUGGUGAGAGACACAGGGGCUGCCUGCACCCCAUCUCAGGUGCCCCUAACCUGGUGCCUCUGGUCCUGCAGAUCAGCCCUCUUCCCCCAGCAGAGCUGCAGGCAGCUUUGCACUGUCCACAUGACUGUCCCAAGCCUGGCCGCACCUGAGGAUUCAUGCAAAGCACAUGGGCUCCAGCCCUCCUCGCUGAGCUGGGGAGGGUGGCCCAGGCUCUGUACUCUGAAACUGAGAGCCAUCAGCCCCAGAACCUAAGGUCUUUGGGGCCUCUGUUGCUACCGGAGGGAAAGAGCUGAACCAGAACUCUGAGCCAGUGUGAGACUGACCGAGCCCUGGGCCCAGGAGCACCUCGGCCCGAAGGCUGCUCCGUACCUUGUCAUCCUUGCCUGCUUGUCUUGGCUUGAGUCAGCUGUCAUACCCAUGAAGCACAUCGGCCUGUGUAACCUUGAGUUCGGCAACUAAUUUCAUCACCACAGCCAGAUUCUCCUCCUCUAAAUCGUUCCAUAUUUAUCACACUGAUGAAGGUCUUGAAACAGAUUAGAGAGAGAGAGAGAGAGACAGUGACAGCUGUAUUCCUGCUAAGCUGGCGGAUACACAUCCAAUACACUGAGUGUGAAAAGACCCUGCGGUCACUGGAGCCAAAGGAAAACCACACGGUGAUGCGCAGCCCCGGUCACCCGCCACGCAGAGGAAGGAGGGCCACCCCAUCAGAGAGGACCCCAGCUGCCCACCAGGGCUUCAUGCACAGUGGGCAAGGGCUGCACCACACGACCUCGCCCCUCCCAAGGAUGGAUGGGGGGACCACAGCGACCUUCAGUCCAGUGGAGCCUAACCUGCCUUCCUCCUGUCAGUGCUUUAGUUCUGAGGAAUUUACAUUUCGGCAGUGAAGAAAGCCUGGUCACGUGAGCCAGCGUCUGUCUGUCCUCGGGCUUCCCAGCAGCCCCCCUCCAGCCGGUUCUGAUAAGGCCAGGCCUGGAUGCGAUUGCAGCACAGCGGGCCUGCAGGUGGGGCUGACGAAAGACGGGGCUCAGGGUCACCUGCGUGCUGCGCGGAGGGCGCCCGAGCCUGCUUUCUCCCUGGGGGUGUCCGGCCCCUCCGCCCUCCUUAUCUAAAGCCAGAGCCAGAGACCACCGUGCACCCCGCCCGCGCCCUGCGGAGGCCCCUCCGGCCUCUCCUGACCCUGAGCUCAGGGGCGGGUGACUGGGCCUCCUGGCGGGGAAUUCCUGGUGUCCCUCACCUGCUUCCCGGAGCCCAGACUUUUGCAAUAAGGAAGCUCAGCCUCUGGCUCCCUGCUGUCCUGUCCCCCAGUUUCAUGCUAGCCGCCCGGGACCAAAGUUCAAGCCUACACUAAUGGCAUUUCUGUCGCUGAUGUGGUUUUUUUUUUUCUAUCCCUGAAUUGAAAGACACCCAAAAUAAAAGUGAAGCAGAUUUUCA